rnacentral:rRNA from 1 species
GACGAACGCUGGCGGCGUGCUUAACACAUGCAAGUCGAACGGAAAGGCCCUGCUUUUGCGGGGCGCUCGAGUGGCGCACGGGUGAGUAUCACGUGAGUAAACUGCCCCUGUCAUUCGGAUAUCUUCUGGAAACUGGGGCUAAUACCGGAUAGGAGCUGCUGCACCAUGGUGGGGGUUGGAAAGAUUCGGCGGUUGGGGAUGGUCUAGCGGCUUAUCAGCCUGUUGGUGGGGUUGUGGCGUACCAAGGCUUUGACGGAUAGCCGGCCUGAGAGGGUGGCCGGCGACAUUGGGACUGAGGGACGGCCCAGACUCCUACGGGAGGCAGCAGGGGGGAAUAUUGCGCAAUGGGCGGAAGCCUGAUGCAGCAACGCCGCGUGCGGGAUGACGGCCUUCGGGUGGUAAACCGCUGUCGCCGGUGACGAAGCGUGAGUGACGGUAAUGGGUAAAGAAGCACCGGCUAACUACGUG